rnacentral:lncRNA from 1 species
GCCCCUCUGACCUGAACGCACACACUCACAGCGUGCCCUGUAUCUGGCUCAGAAGCCGUCGCUCCGAAGAAGGUAAAGCGAGACAAUAUUUAAUACUUCAAAAGAGACUGAUUGUAUUUAAGGCUCAGCCUUUAUGAGUCAAGCACAAAUUUUCAGAUUGCUUUUUCAAUGCCAGGAAGCAAGAUCCUGGUGUGAGAGCAAGCUGCUCCCUCACAAACAGAAAGAGAACAGGCCGCAAAGGGGGUGGGGGGGACCGUAGUCUGAGGGCCUCUGACUCACCAGAGAUCACAGAAGGCCAGCUGUCACCAUUGUUACUCUGCUCUUUUAGAAGAUAACUGUCUGUCUUACUAUUCCUUUUAAAGUAUGCCAGAGCAAAUCCAGAUAUUCUUUAAUUAAUACUCUCAGGGUGGUUUGAAUAUUUAAAAAUAAGGUUUUGAAAAACGUACAAGGCAGUAUCACACUGGGGAGGCCGAAUUGCAGACGUAAAGUUGACUUUAGCCAGUUUUCUCCUACCCUCUUCUAACACAAACUGGUGAAGCUCUGAGGUUGCCCUUUAAAGGCAGGUGAAUUCUAAAGGGGACGGCAAAUGAACAGAUUUCUCCCUUGGUGUGUGUGUUUAACCAUGUGAGCUAAUUUCCUAUUUCUCAUCCUCCAGAGCAGCCUUCAGACUACCAAGCAGAGUAAUUCCUCAGAAUUGUCCCACGUUGUCCUAGAGAAGUCGUCUUUAUAGGCAUGGAGUAGGGUGUCUGCAGGCCUCCAGUCAAUUCCAACCGAUUUCAACUGCCAAAGUUAAAAGUUGCCAUUGCAGUUACUGUCGGACCAAAGUAACCCCUGAGAACUCUCCACAUUUGUAAAACGGACUGAAAGGUUCAGUGGCGUUUCCCACCUGGAACAGGACUAGUAAUGCUUUGAACGUGAAGAGGUAUUAAUGGCCACUUGCCCUUUAAACCACAGAGGGACAGCUGAGCACAGUGACCUUCUAGCCCAACUUGAGAGAAGCAGGAAAUGGGGUCUGAGGCUGAAGGUUCAGAUGAUAAAAUGCCCCUCGGGAAGAUAACGAAAUGCUUCAUCCGAUGGUGGCCCAAGACACCUCUUAAAAUCUAAGGAAAUCGUUUCCCUUUUAAAAAGCUGCUUUGUGGAAAUAACAAGUGAGAUCUUUUCCUGCUGUUUGUCUCUCUGCCUGAAUCCGGACAUAUUUUCUCUCACAGAUGUCAAUCUUUUGCUAAAAGUCUAUAAAUGAUAUUUCUUUUAAUAGUCCUAAAACAUAAACUACUGUUUCCUCCAACUCUUUCUAGGUUCCCAGAAUGUUUCCAUGGUCUUAUUCUAUUACAAUGUUUGAAACUUUAGUAAUAUUAAGAAAUCCAUUCUCCACAUGAGUCCAUCAGCUUCACUCUGUUCUCACAUAUUUCCCCACAGGUGGCUGGACAGGGAAAAUCUAAAUGACUGGGAUAGCUAAUAGCCUUAAAAAUACUAGGCCCCAAGUAGCAAAGAGACUGUGUCUCUAAACAUCUGGAUUCAUUGCACACUAUAUGCAAAUUGAUGCCAGCAUAUUUACAAAGGUCUCUGUAUACCCAGAAUACCAGGUAACUGGACCUCUAUUUUUCUGGAAAAGAGGUUUUGAAAUAUCGUUAACGGACAUAAGUGUCUGUAUCACUUCUGCCUCCUAGAUGACUGUCCCCUGUGAGGAACUGUCGUGGGAAUGAGGCGAUAGGACUGGUUGAAGGAAAUGCUAAGAAGCUCUCUCCUUUGUGGACUGAGGGACCAGCUUCAACACCAGAGGGGUGCAAUCCCAGCAGAAAAGGAACACUGUCUCUAAUGUUGCAACAAAGUAACCAGCAUGAAGUUAGCAAGAAGAAAUCACGGUUGCAGCUGCUGAACACUGAUCCCUACCUGCUUUAAACUUAGAUCCAGAACGGAGCCGGCACAGUGACUUACGUCACUCCCACUGGCUUAAGAGAACAGAGAAUGACAUAUAGACAAGAUGCUACCUCCCAUGGAAAGGCCCCUAUACAUAAAGUCACUUUAUUUCUCUGUCACUUCCCUGAAAAUAAUUUAUGUAAUUAUGCUGUUAAUGAAGUCUAACAACUCAA